rnacentral:rRNA from 1 species
UAACGCGUGAGCAAUCUGCCCUUAGGUGGGGGAUAACAGCCGGAAACGGCUGCUAAUACCGCAUAACGCAGUGAAAUCGCAUGAUUUUGCUGCCAAAGAUUUAUUGCCUUUGGAUGAGCUCGCGUCUGAUUAGCUAGUUGGCGGGGUAACGGCCCACCAAGGCGACGAUCAGUAGCCGGACUGAGAGGUUGAACGGCCACAUUGGGACUGAGACACGGCCCAGACUCCUACGGGAGGCAGCAG